rnacentral:rRNA from 1 species
UACGGGAGGCAGCAGUGAGGAAUAUUGCACAAUGGGGGAAACCCUGAUGCAGCAACGCCGCGUGGAGGAUGACGCAUUUCGGUGUGUAAACUCCUUUUAUAUGUCAAGAAAAUGACGGUAGCAUAUGAAUAAGCACCGGCUAACUCCGUGCCAGCAGCCGCGGUAAUACGGAGGGUGCAAGCGUUAUUCGGAAUCACUGGGCGUAAAGGACACGUAGGCGGGUUGGAAAGUCAGAUGUGAAAUCCUACAGCUUAACUGUAGAACUGCAUUUGAAACUUCUAACCUAGAGUAUGGGAGGGGGAGAUGGAAUUAGUGGUGUAGGGGUAAAAUCCGUAGAUAUCACUAGGAAUACCUAAAGCGAAGGCGACCUCCUGGAACAUAACUGACGCUAAGGUGUGAAAGCGUGGGGAGCAAACGGGAUUAGAUACCCCGGUAGUCCACGCCCUAAACGAUGAACACUAGUCGUCGGAAUGCUAGUCAUUUCGGUGAUGCACUUAACAGAUUAAGUGUUCCGCCUGGGGAGUACGGUCGCAAGAUUAAAACUCAAAGGAAUAGACGGGGACCCGCACAAGUGGUGGAGCAUGUGGUUUAAUUCGAAGAUACGCGAAGAACCUUACCUAGCCUUGACAUUGAAAGAACAUUUUAGAGAUAAGAUGGUGCCCUUCGGGGAGCUUGAAAACAGGUGCUGCACGGCUGUCGUCAGCUCGUGUCGUGAGAUGUUGGGUUAAGUCCCGCAACGAGCGCAACCCUCGUCCUUAGUUGCCAGCAGGUUAAGCUGGGCACUUUAAGGAGACUGCCUUCGCAAGGAGGAGGAAGGUGAGGACGACGUCAAGUCAUCAUGGCCCUUAUGGCUAGGGCUACACACGUGCUACAAUGGGGCGUACAGAGUGUUGCGAUACCGCGAGGUGGAGCUAAUCACUUAAAGCGUCUCUCAGUUCGGAUAGCAGUCUGCAACUCGACUGCUUGAAGCUGGAAUCACUAGUAAUCGUAGAUCAGCAAUGCUACGGUGAAUACGUUCCCGGGUCUUGUACUCACCGCCCGUCACACCAUGGGAGUUGAUUUCGCCCGAAAUUGGGAAGCUAACCUUCGGGAGGCUAC